rnacentral:rRNA from 1 species
ACGGAAGGCAGCAGUGGGGAAUCUUCGGCAAUGGGGGCAACCCUGACCGAGCAACGCCGCGUGAGUGAAGAAGGUUUUCGGAUCGUAAAGCUCUGUUGUAAGAGAAGAACGUGUGUGAGAGUGGAAAGCUCACACAGUGACGGUAACUUACCAGAAAGGGACGGCUAACUACGUGCCAGCAGCCGCGGUAAUACGUAGGUCCCGAGCGUUGUCCGGAUUUAUUGGGCGUAAAGCGAGCGCAGGCGGUUUAAUAAGUCUGAAGUUAACGGCAGUGGCUUACCCAUUGUUCGCUUUGGCAACUGUUAGCCUUGAGUGCAGAAGGGGAGAGUGGAAUUCCAUGUGUAGCGGUGAAAUGCGUCGCUAUAUGGAGGAACGCCGGUGGCGCAAGCGGCUCUCUGGUCUGUAACUGACGCUGAGUCUCUAAAGCGUGUGGAGCAAACAGGAUUAGAUACCCUGGUA